CUUUCUUUCUGCGCGGCGCUUCAGAGAGCGCGGCGGGUCUGAGGACGUUUCUCUCUCGCUCUCCCUCCUCGCGGCGGGACAUUAACUUAGAUAAAUAGAAAUUGGAAAAUAAUUACAGUAUUUUUUUUUCCCUUUGAAUUGCAUGCGAGGGGUCCGUUGUGUUCGGGGGAAGGAAGGAAGGUUUGAGAAUCAAUACAUACGCAAUGUUUGGAACAUGGAGUCCCAAAAUUUGAGGAAACAAAUUUCUCUUGGACAAUAACCAGGUAUGUUUUUAAAAGACCAAACAUUCGUGUUGUUGAUUCUUCAUCAAUUUAUUUUCAUGUUGUAGAAAACUCAACUUUCAUCUGACUUUUCCAUCUGUUUUUAAAAACUUAACUCCACUUAAUGGAUCAGAUUUCCAAGAAAAAUGGGGAGGUGAACUUCAAGGUUUGUCAAAAGUAUAGAAGUCAACGCCUUCUAUUUUACUAAUUUUAUUUAUAAUAAAGAAAUACGUUAAUGUUG